rnacentral:rRNA from 1 species
AGUGGCGGACGGGUGAGUAACACGUGGGAACGUGCCUUUAGGUUCGGAAUAACUCAGGGAAACUUGUGCUAAUACCGAAUGUGCCCUUCGGGGGAAAGAUUUAUCGCCUUUAGAGCGGCCCGCGUCUGAUUAGCUAGUUGGUGGGGUAAUGGCCCACCAAGGCUACGAUCAGUAGCUGGUCUGAGAGGAUGACCAGCCACAUUGGGACUGAGACACGGCCCAAACUCCUACGGGAGGCAGCAGUGGGGAAUCUUGCGCAAUGGGCGAAAGCCUGACGCAGCCAUGCCGCGUGUAUGAUGAAGGUCUUAGGAUUGUAAAAUACUUUCACCGGUGAAGAUAAUGACUGUAGCCGGAGAAGAAGCCCCGGCUAACUUCGUGCCAGCAGCCGCGGUAAUACGAAGGGGGCUAGCGUUGCUCGGAAUUACUGGGCGUAAAGGGAGCGUAGGCGGACAUUUAAGUCAGAGGUGAAAUCCCGGAGCUUAACUUCGGAACUGCCUUUGAUACUGGGUGUCUUGAGUGUGAGAGAGGUAUGUGGAACUCCGAGUGUAGAGGUGAAAUUCGUAGAUAUUCGGAAGAACACCAGUGGCGAAGGCGACAUACUGGCUCAUUACUGACGCUGACGCUCGAAAGCGUGGGGAGCAAACAGGAUUAGAUACCCUGGUAGUCCACGCCGUAAACGAUGAUUGCUAGUUGU